GGGGGAUGGCAGCCAUGCUGGUGGUUGAAAAACACCAUGCUGCUGAUGGGUGAACAGGAGAGUUGGUGAUGGCUUGUGAAAGAAGGGAGAAACAGGGAAAAAGAAAAGCUAACGGGGGGAUCCGGGGAGAGCAGCUGAAAAAAGAAAAAUCUGAGGGAGAAGGAGGAGGACUUUUGGGGCAAAAGGGAUCUUGGAGAAAAAACAGAGCAGAAACGGAGAAAAUAGAAAAAAAACAGAGUAAGGAAGGAGGGUGGAAGACAAGUGAAUCCGGAUCAAUGAGACACCCCAGUUUCUUUCAAAUUUCUAAUCGGAAUCAGAUUCUCACCGGGAAAGACAGUAUGUGACGACACGCCUGACUCCCCGCGUGCAUGGCGUGCCGACUCCAUCAUCUCCGUGGUUGGUCUCCUCACUGCCGUCGGCAACGGCGGCAGCAGCUAUGAGGACAAUCCUCUCGCGUGGAGGGUUGCGACGUCGAGUUAUAGUCCGCACCAACCACCCUUUAAGGCGCAUGUAGUGGCCAUCAUUGCCUCGUUUCCUAACUCCCAGCACUAAGAGUUUUAUUUUUCUUUGUUUAUUUUAUUUUAGUCAUUCUCUUUUCCUUUGUUUCACAUUGUCAAAUGACCCCUAUAAAAUCCCUUAAAAUUUCAAAGUCCUAGAUUUACUGAUCUAUUCAUUUGUUCUCAAAAAUAUAUUUAUAUUUAUGUAGCAUUUCCGAAAUAACCUUCUCAAA